GACGAACGCUGGCGGCGUGCUUAACACAUGCAAGUCGAACGCUGAAGCUCAGCUUGCUGGGUGGAUGAGUGGCGAACGGGUGAGUAACACGUGAGUAACCUGCCCUCUUCUUUGGGAUAACGCCCGGAAACGGGUGCUAAUACUGGAUAUUCACUGAUUCUCGCAUGGGGGUUGGUGGAAAGGUUUUUUCUGGUGGGGGAUGGGCUCGCGGCCUAUCAGCUUGUUGGUGGGGUGAUGGCCUACCAAGGCUUUGACGGGUAGCAGGCCUGAGAGGGUGACCGGUCACAUUGGGACUGAGAUACGGCCCAGACUCCUACGGGAGGCAGCAGUGGGGAAUAUUGCACAAUGGGCGAAAGCCUGAUGCAGCGACGCCGCGUGAGGGAUGGAGGCCUUCGGGUUGUAAACCUCUUUCGCUCAUGGUCAAGCCGCAGCUUUGGGUUGUGGUGAGGGUAGUGGGUAAAGAAGCGCCGGCUAACUACGUG
rnacentral:rRNA from 1 species